CCUUGAAGCCUUCUUUACCUGUACACUAGUUCUUUCUUCAACUCACUUGAUGCUUUUUCUUGAAAUCUUGCACAUCUUCCUUACAAAGCCAAAGUGACAUCUGGAGAGCUUCUUGUGGAGGGUUACCCAACCAACAGAUUACUCAAAUGCACCAAAGGAGACAGAGCAGGAGUGAAAGCUCCAUGCCAGAGCAGAUGGUGCAUGUCUCCUUGUGGCACCUCCACUGAAACACAUUACCCCACAGAUAGCAGGCAUCCCAUAGAUACUCAAGAAGUGCAGUUCUUAAAGUCAUAACCACCACAUUGCUAAGUGCACCACAAAAUGCAAUACUCUAAGUCUUGCAUAAACUUUACACUGCACAGGCCCCAAAUCAAAUAAUUCUGUUGUUUGUCAUUGAAGUUGAGUUUGAAAAUGUUCUCCAAGGAAGAGACAGCGAAAGACAAAGAUUAAAAUAGCUCUUGAACAUUAAAUCUUGCUCUUAUCAAGCUCUUGUCUUCUGUACUCCUU